UUUUGUAUGGCUUUGUUCUCUGCAAUCCGAGCACGCAGCUCAUCGGUGGAUGCACGUCUGCUCGGCGUCGCAAUGCGGCCUGCGUCAUUUUUUGGUGUUCGCGCAAUCGGUGUGAAGCAUGUCGCAUGUGAAAUGUUUGGUAGAAGUGCCUCACGUCCAAGUCAAGCCGCCGUACGGGUGUAUGGCUGUGCGCCCUGUUCUCGGAAGCGUCAACGGCUUUCCGGCAUGCGGAUUUCAGCGUUUGGACUCGACUUUUGGUGAGGCUGUCGAUCGACCUUGGGCCUGGUGACAGCACACCCGACAUCGCCAAAGUGCAGCCUAUCAGUUGAGUGCCCCCGAAUGGACCAUCAACAUCGGAAACUGAAGCAGAGCCAGGGGGAAAAAGCUCCGGUAACACCAUGCAUUCAGUAUGGUGGCCCAGACGUGUAUGCAAGCAACCUCCUUCAUGUGGACCAAGAACUACUCUGCAGUGUCUCACAGUCUUCCAUGCGAAGCCCUCAACAUUCUCGUCUCAGUGGAAUGGCUGCCCAUCUAUCUGCGUGUCCAUCACCAAGACGGCUAGUUGUAAAGCUCCUGUACCCGUUUAAGAAAGCUUAAUGAUUUUUUAUGCGAAGCAUAUUACGAGGGCUCAACCCAGCUCCUCAGGCGCGGCGGUGACCAUGAAAUCACGUGACACCGUGACGUCACGACAGAGGAGAAGUGGCUUUGGCUCAACUCUUGCAAGACGGGCUGGGUGGGAAUCGAACCAGGGUCUCCGGAGUGUGGGACGGAGACGCUACCACUGAGCCACGAGUACAACGCUUCAAAGCGAUACAAAAGCGCCUCUAGUGAAUGCGGUGUUGCCUUAGAAACGCGCUGUUUCUAAGGCGUGCGUCUCUUGCUCAGGCGCACAUUUCGUUGCCGCGCCGAACGCUGCUUUGCUCGACGCUCACCGCGUCCAAUGCGGGGCGCGUAGUCGCUGCCCUGUAGCCCAUUGUCUUACACCCCUUGGCGGGUCGACGGGAACGCUGUCGCGUUCCACUCUUGAAGGCGAAGAAGUAAUGCAUGAGUUGUUUCUUCGUCUAGCCGAACCAAAUAUAGCCAAGCAACAGCAGUUCACCAGGCUAAACAGUGGUUCAACAACUAAAAUAAAGGCUAGUAUGCUUCGCAUCCUGGGCUUAACCUUACCUAAGCCACAGCCAUUUUUUUAUUUAGUUUUCACGGUUGGCCGUAGAAUCUUAACAUUUUUGAUGUUUCUAACGUUUUUACCUGGCACAAAGUGGCGCAAUAACUUUAAACCAGUGUAAUGUAUUUAAGUGAUGCUCACUCUAAUGCCUAUCUGGUUUUGUUUGUGUUUAAGAAAUUUGAAUGUCUGAUGAGGUAACAGCAUUUAAAUUUGUCAUCGUGGCUUGGUUCAAUGAGCUGCUAGGAAAUAAGAUGCAAAACUUAUCACAUGCCAGUUGUAGCAUUUUUGUAUUCAUGACUAAAGUAUACACGUUUCAAAAGAUGGAAAGUGGGGAAAAAAAGCCUCAAGAACAUAAUCAUCCUAGGAUUGUCAUGUCCUUACAACUCUGCAAUGACUAAUGCCUCAUGCAUCUUGGGAGCACAAUGGUCGCAAUGCCUACAGGUAUACUUGAUAAGAGACUAGCUUGCAAAAAUUUAGUUGAGAGUUAGCGCUCAUCCUGUCUGCUUCUAGUCUGUGUCCAUGCCACUUCGCGCUACAAUCCAAGAUCAUGUUACUGUACCAACUCGCCCAACUUUUUAUCCUUGUGUUAAAGACACACUCAGACUUGUUCUUACUUAUGUGACCGGUUAUUUUUGUGCUUUAUAAUAAGAUGCAGUGCUUUUCGAAUGAAAACGUGAUAUUUAGUAGUGAGGUUAUUUAAAAAAACUGUUCUGCUUAAAAUUUAAUUGAGCAAGCCUGUGCCAUUAUUCGGUGCUUAUGUCUUUGUAUUGGUAUGGUUUUACUCAUCUUCCUUUUUACUUUUAAAAUGUGCAAACAUUAUUAUGUAACCAUUUCUCUUGAAUGAAAUAAAUACUUCUGACAUUUCGUCACAAA